rnacentral:rRNA from 1 species
CGGCGUGCCUAACACAUGCAAGUCGAGCGAUGAAACCCUUCGGGGUGGAUUAGCGGCGGACGGGUGAGUAACACGUGGGUAACCUGCCUCAAAGAGGGGGAUAGCCUCCCGAAAGGGAGAUUAAUACCGCAUAACAUUAGUUUUUCGCAUGGAGAACUAAUUAAAGGAGUAAUCCGCUUUGAGAUGGACCCGUGGCGCAUUAGCUAGUUGGUGAGGUAAAGGCUCACCAAGGCGACGAUGCGUAGCCGACCUGAGAGGGUGAUCGGCCACAUUGGAACUGAGACACGGUCCAGACUCCUACGGGAGGCAGCAGUGGGGAAUAUUGCACAAUGGGCGAAAGCCUGAUGCAGCAACGCCGCGUGAGUGAUGAAGGCCGUCGGGUUGUAAAGUCUGUCUUUUGGGACGAUAAUGACGGUACCAAAGGAGGAAGCCACGGCUAACUACGUGCCAGCACCGCGGUAAUACGUAGGUGGCGAGCGUUGUCCGGAUUUACUGGGCGUAAAGGAUGCGUAGGCGGAUUUUUAAGUGAGAUGUGAAAUACCCGGGCUUAACUUGGGUGCUGCAUUUCAAACUGGAAGUCUAGAGUGCGGGAGAGG